CGGCGGACGGGUGAGUAACGCGUAGGAAUCUACCCGAGUAGUGGGGGACAAACAUGGUGAAAACCAUGCUAAUACCGCAUACGCCCUAAGGGGGGAAAGCGGGGGACCUUCGGGCCUCGCGCUAUUGGAUGAGCCUGCGUCGGAUUAGCUUGUUGGUGAGGUAAAGGCUCACCAAGGCGACGAUCCGUAGCUGGUCUGAGAGGAUGAUCAGCCACACUGGAACUGAGACACGGUCCAG
rnacentral:rRNA from 1 species